UACGAGUGGCCCAAGCGUUAUCCGGAAUUAUUGGGAUCGUAAAGGGGUGAAGUAGGUGGUCAUAGUUAGUUCUUGUGUUAAAGCCUUCGGCUCAAACCUCGGAAGAUCAUGGCAUAGGAACGGUAUGAACUAGAGUAUGUGGAGAGGUACGUAGAACUCAUGGAGUAGGGGUGAAAUCCGUUGAUAUCAUGGGGAAUACCAAAAGCGGUAGGCACGCGUACUGGCACAUUACUGACACAUGAAUCACGGAAAGCGAUGGGAUAGCCGAAGUAGGGA
rnacentral:rRNA from 1 species